UAGCGUAGGGGGCAAGCGUUGUCCGGAAUUAUUGGGCGUAAAGAGCUCGUAGGCGGUUUGUCGCGUCUGCCGUGAAAGUCCGGGGCUCAACUCCGGAUCUGCGGUGGGUACGGGCAGACUAGAGUGGACAGUAUGGGGAGACUGGAAUUCCUGGAUGUAGCGGUGAAAUGCGCAGAUAUCAGGAGGAACACCGAGUGGCGAAGGCAGGUCUCUGGGCUGUAACUGACGCUGGAGGAAGCGAAAGCCUGGGGAGCAACAGG
rnacentral:rRNA from 1 species